rnacentral:rRNA from 1 species
UUAAGCGACUAAGCGUACACGGUGGAUGCCCUGGCAGUCAGAGGCGAUGAAGGGCGUGCUAAUCUGCGAUAAGCGCCGGUAAGGUGAUAUGAACCGUUAUAACCGGCGAUACCCGAAUGGGGAAACCCAGUGUGAUUCGUCACACUAUCAUUAACUGAAUCCAUAGGUUAAUGAGGCGAACCGGGGGAACUGAAACAUCUAAGUACCCCGAGGAAAAGAAAUCAACCGAGAUUCCCCCAGUAGCGGCGAGCGAACGGGGAGGAGCCCAGAGCCUGAAUCAGCAUGUGUGUUAGUGGAAGCGUCUGGAAAGGCGCGCGAUACAGGGUGACAGCCCCGUACACAAAAGCGCAUGUGCUGUGAGCUCGAUGAGUAGGGCGGGACACGUGGUAUCCUGUCUGAAUAUGGGGGGACCAUCCUCCAAGGCUAAAUACUCCUGACUGACCGAUAGUGAACCAGUACCGUGAGGGAAAGGCGAAAAGAACCCCGGCGAGGGGAGUGAAAAAGAACCUGAAACCGUGUACGUACAAGCAGUGGGAGCACAGGUUUACCUGUGUGACUGCGUACCUUUUGUAUAAUGGGUCAGCGACUUAUAUUCUGUAGCAAGGUUAACCGAAUAGGGGAGCCGGAGGGAAACCGAGUCUUAAUUGGGCGUUAAGUUGCAGGGUAUAGACCCGAAACCCGGUGAUCUAGCCAUGGGCAGGUUGAAGGUUGGGUAACACUAACUGGAGGACCGAACCGACUAAUGUUGAAAAAUUAGCGGAUGACCUGUGGCUGGGGGUGAAAGGCCAAUCAAACCGGGAGAUAGCUGGUUCUCCCCGAAAGCUAUUUAGGUAGCGCCUCGUGAAUUCAUCUCCGGGGGUAGAGCACUGUUUCGGCUAGGGGGCCAUCCCGGCUUACCAACCCGAUGCAAACUGCGAAUACCGGAGAAUGUUAUCACGGGAGACACACGGCGGGUGCUAACGUCCGUCGUGAAGAGGGAAACAACCCAGACCGCCAGCUAAGGUCCCAAAGUCAUGGUUAAGUGGGAAACGAUGUGGGAAGGCCCAGACAGCCAGGAUGUUGGCUUAGAAGCAGCCAUCAUUUAAAGAAAGCGUAAUAGCUCACUGGUCGAGUCGGCCUGCGCGGAAGAUGUAACGGGGCUAAACCAUGCACCGAAGCUGCGGCAGCGAACGUAUCACCCAAGACAACUUUACGGAGUUGACGAUUGACGGAGCGAAGCGACGUCAAAGCGUUCAUUAAAGUCGAGUUGGCUUAGGGAUACGUUCGUUGGGUAGGGGAGCGUUCUGUAAGCCUGCGAAGGUGGCCUGUGAGGGUUGCUGGAGGUAUCAGAAGUGCGAAUGCUGACAUAAGUAACGAUAAAGCGGGUGAAAAGCCCGCUCGCCGGAAGACCAAGGGUUCCUGUCCAACGUUAAUCGGGGCAGGGUGAGUCGACCCCUAAGGCGAGGCCGAAAGGCGUAGUCGAUGGGAAACGGGUUAAUAUUCCCGUACUUGGUGUUACUGCGAAGGGGGACGGAGAAGGCUAUGUUGGCCGGGCGACGGUUGUCCCGGUUUAAGCGUGUAGGUGUGUGUUCCAGGUAAAUCCGGUUCACUUUAACACUGAGGCGUGACGACGAGGCACUACGGUGCUGAAGCAACAAAUGCCCUGCUUCCAGGAAAAGCCUCUAAGCAUCAGGUAACAUCAAAUCGUACCCCAAACCGACACAGGUGGUCAGGUAGAGAAUACCAAGGCGCUUGAGAGAACUCGGGUGAAGGAACUAGGCAAAAUGGUGCCGUAACUUCGGGAGAAGGCACGCUGACACGUAGGUGAAGUGAUUUACUCAUGGAGCUGAAGUCAGUCGAAGAUACCAGCUGGCUGCAACUGUUUAUUAAAAACACAGCACUGUGCAAACACGAAAGUGGACGUAUACGGUGUGACGCCUGCCCGGUGCCGGAAGGUUAAUUGAUGGGGUCAGCGCAAGCGAAGCUCCUGAUCGAAGCCCCGGUAAACGGCGGCCGUAACUAUAACGGUCCUAAGGUAGCGAAAUUCCUUGUCGGGUAAGUUCCGACCUGCACGAAUGGCGUAAUGAUGGCCAGGCUGUCUCCACCCGAGACUCAGUGAAAUUGAACUCGCUGUGAAGAUGCAGUGUACCCGCGGCAAGACGGAAAGACCCCGUGAACCUUUACUAUAGCUUGACACUGAACAUUGAGCCUUGAUGUGUAGGAUAGGUGGGAGGCUUUGAAGUGUGGACGCCAGUCUGCAUGGAGCCGACCUUGAAAUACCACCCUUUAAUGUUUGAUGUUCUAACGUGGACCCGUAAUCCGGGUUGCGGACAGUGUCUGGUGGGUAGUUUGACUGGGGCGGUCUCCUCCUAAAGAGUAACGGAGGAGCACGAAGGUUGGCUAAUCCUGGUCGGACAUCAGGAGGUUAGUGCAAUGGCAUAAGCCAGCUUGACUGCGAGCGUGACGGCGCGAGCAGGUGCGAAAGCAGGUCAUAGUGAUCCGGUGGUUCUGAAUGGAAGGGCCAUCGCUCAACGGAUAAAAGGUACUCCGGGGAUAACAGGCUGAUACCGCCCAAGAGUUCAUAUCGACGGCGGUGUUUGGCACCUCGAUGUCGGCUCAUCACAUCCUGGGGCUGAAGUAGGUCCCAAGGGUAUGGCUGUUCGCCAUUUAAAGUGGUACGCGAGCUGGGUUUAGAACGUCGUGAGACAGUUCGGUCCCUAUCUGCCGUGGGCGCUGGAGAACUGAGGGGGGCUGCUCCUAGUACGAGAGGACCGGAGUGGACGCAUCACUGGUGUUCGGGUUGUCAUGCCAAUGGCACUGCCCGGUAGCUAAAUGCGGAAGAGAUAAGUGCUGAAAGCAUCUAAGCACGAAACUUGCCCCGAGAUGAGUUCUCCCUGAGACUUAGAGUCUCCUGAAGGAACGUUGAAGACGACGACGUUGAUAGGCCGGGUGUGUAAGCGCAGCGAUGCGUUGAGCUAACCGGUACUAAUGAACCGUGAGGCUUAACCUU